UACAGAGGGGGCAAGCGUUGUUCGGAAUUACUGGGCGUAAAGGGCGCGUAGGCGGUCCGAUAAGUCCCGUGUGAAAUCCCUCGGCUCAACUGAGGAAUGGCACGGGAAACUGCCGGGCUUGAGUUCGGGAGAGGGAAGCGGAAUUCCGGGUGUAGCGGUGAAAUGCGUAGAUAUCCGGAGGAACACCGGUGGCGAAGGCGGCUUCCUGGACCGACACUGACGCUGAGGCGCGAAAGCUAGGGGAGCAAACGGG
rnacentral:rRNA from 1 species